AACUGAUACUACCUGCGGGAACCUGCGGAGGGAUCAUUACCGAGUUUACAACUCCCAAACCCAAUGUGAACGUUACCAAACUGUUGCCUCGGCGGGAUCUCUGCCCCGGGCGCGUCGCAGCCCCGGACCAAGGCGCCCGCCGGAGGACCAACCAAAACUCUUUUGUAUACCCCCUCGCGGGUUUUUUAUAUCUGAGCCAUCUCGGCGCCUCUCGUAGGCGUUUCGAAAAUGAAUCAAAAC
rnacentral:misc_RNA from 1 species